GACGAACGCUGGCGGCGUGCUUAACACAUGCAAGUCGUACGGUAAGGCCCUUUCGGGGGUACACGAGUGGCGAACGGGUGAGUAACACGUGAGUAACCUGCCCACAACUUUGGGAUAACGCUAGGAAACUGGUGCUAAUACUGGAUAUGUUCUCCUGCUGCAUGGUGGGGGUUGGAAAGCUCCGGCGGUUGUGGAUGGACUCGCGGCCUAUCAGCUUGUUGGUGGGGUAGUGGCCUACCAAGGCGGCGACGGGUAGCCGGCCUGAGAGGGUGACCGGCCACAUUGGGACUGAGGUACGGCCCAGACACCUACGGGAGGCAGCAGUGGGGAAUAGUGCACAAUGGGCGCAAGCCUGAUGCAGCAACGCCGCGGGCGGGAUGACGGGCUUCGGGUUGUAAACCGGUUUAAGCAGGGACGAAGCUUUUUGUGACGUUACCUGCAGAAGAAGCACCGGCUAACUACGUG
rnacentral:rRNA from 1 species